UAAUACGUAGGUGGCAAGCGUUGUCCGGAAUUAUUGGGCGUAAAGCGCGCGCAGGCGGCUUCUUAAGUCUGAUGUGAAAUCUUGCGGCUCAACCGCAAGCGGUCAUUGGAAACUGGGAGGCUUGAGUGCAGAAGAGGAGAGUGGAAUUCCACGUGUAGCGGUGAAAUGCGUAGAGAUGUGGAGGAACACCAGUGGCGAAGGCGGCUCUCUGGUCUGUAACUGACGCUGAGGCGCGAAAGCGUGGGGAGCAAACAGGAUUAGAUACCCUGGUAGUCCUCGCCGUAAACGAUGAGUGCUAAGUGUUAGAGGGUUUCCGCCCUUUAGUGCUGCAGCUAACGCAUUAAGCACUCCGCCUGGGGAGUACGGCCGCAAGGCUGAA
rnacentral:rRNA from 1 species